rnacentral:sRNA from 1 species
UUUUUCAAAUACUCGAUCACAACAUAGGAGUAAAAGCUUUAGAGUGCGAUCUAGCAGUUUCGGGAUAACAACUUUCUACUAGAUCGCAAGGAGGAGUGAAAGUGUCCACAGAACCUCAAUGACAAACCUUGCUCCCAUAAAGUCCACUGGAUUUCAAUCUCCACUGAAACUCCAAAAAGACCAUGAUGUUUCCACUUGUAGCCGAUGACACAAAAUUAAAGGAUCAAUGGCCCAUACACGAUCACAAGGCGCGUGAAUUGAAGGAACCUCAUCCUGCCCACAUAAAGCACCAUGUUUUGUCACCUUAUCACUUUGCCGACAUCAUAACAGGCAUUGCAUCUCAUCUGUCCGUUUAAAAGCAACACACCUCCUCCACUCAUUCAAAUCGCAAAGGGAGAUAAGUGUCACUAUUGUUCACUUUUCUUUGUAACUUGUGAUUUCAAAACAUCUCUCUUGUUUAUCUCUCUACUUCACUACCAAAAACGCUCUCAACUCUUUCAUUGUUGCUAGCUGUUAUUGACUAAAACAGAACCUCAGAAACCACUCUAUCGCAACCCUGUCUCUCCUUUGCUUGCUUCACUCGAUCGCUACCUGAGAUCUCACCAUCAAAUUCUACUCGAUCGCAACUCUGUCUCAACAGGAAGUCAUUUCUUUCAUUCUCUUUGUUUGUUUCUCACUAACCUACUAAGCUUUAGUUGUGAGUUUCAAAUCAAUUUCAGCUUCAAGAUGAGUUCACACAGCUAAGAAUCAUCUAUGAAUGCCGACUACAAUGUUGAUGAGGCUGAAUCUUGGUCAACUAGGCCAGAGAGAGAAGCAGAGGAGUACAUGCGAUUUGUGGAGGAAACAGAGCGAGCAGUCGCCAAUGACAGAAGAAGAGAAGAUAUUUCCAAAGGAAAACGGACAAUGACAGAGAACCAUGAGUUGGUCGAUGAAGAGAUGGAUGAUGAUGCAGAGUACAUUCCGGAGCAAACCCGCAAGACCACUAAGUCCUUGAUGAAAGAAGACAAGCUGACCCCGGGAGACUACUACAAGGUUCUCAAAAGUAAUCCGUUUUGGGGAACAAGAUAUCCUCAUCCGGAUACAAUGGUUGAGUUAGGCAUCCUGUAGGACGUUCAGCUCUUGUUCGAGAAAUGCCACAUGACAACACGCAUGUCUCAUCUCUAUCCUACCUAUGAGGAUGAGACACUUCAAUUCCUUUCAUCACUUCAAGUGGAAUUGUUUGAGGGGUUGUCAGCUGCUGAGUUUAGAGAAUAAGGGCUUGGUUACUUAAGUUUCACCAUCGACGAUCGCGGCUAUAUCUUGGCGAUCAAGACGCUGGAAUCCAUGUUUGGGUUUCCCAGCAGCACGGGAACGAAACCAAGGUUUGCCCGAGAAGAAUUAAAAUCUUUGUUGAACACGAUCGGAGACACCACCAGCUUCAACUCCGCUAGAUCCAAGAGCAACUUCAUCCGCAAUCCCGCCAUUCGCUAUUUCCAGAGAGCCAUGGCCAGUGUCCCUUACGCUAGGGAGAUAUCUGCCACUGUUACGAACCAAGACAUGGAGACGUUAGACGUGGCGCUGCUGAGUUUCGUCUGUUACACCAAGGACGAGAAAACAAUGAAAGAAGAUACCAAUAACACACCACCGUCAAUGUAUCUCCUCAAUCACCUAUGUAGCUAUAGAGGGUGGGCGCUGGCCAAUGACAAGAAGAAUGCAAAAGGAGCCUUUUGCAUUGGAGGAGUAUUCACACCAAUCCUUCUAUUGUGCGACAACCCGCUGCGAUCGAAUCCAAUCCAACCACGUUGGAUGGAUAUCGCCCAUCUCAAGCUUGACCAUGUGAUCGAGCAUAAGGUCUAUGACAUGAGGUACGCUUUCAAGUUUGAUCACCCAUCAACAGGAGAAGCAACUAUUCUUCUCCCAUUCAGCGAGAUGACAACCAUCACGGUGAGAGACAACAUCGACUUCUCGCCACCACAAGAAAUCAUCCAUGUUGUGAUUGGAGGAUCAACGUCCCAGAAUGUUGAAGAAGUAGAAGGUCAGAGUGAUAAUGAGGAGACCAACUGGGAGAACUAUGACACUAGCCGGUACAACUUUGAAGAACACAAGCCCCCUUCACGAGAAAGCAAGAGUCUCGCUGAAGCACACCGGAAUCUCAAUCUAACCCAAAUGUGAUGCAAGUUUCAAGACAAGAUCAUCCAUAAGUGUGUCAAGGCCAUUGACAAUAUGUAGAAGGCAAUCAGCUACACCACAUCUCCAGCAGUGCGAUCACCAAAGACAACCCGCGAGAAGACAUGCCAUCCAGGCGUCAUGACAUUGCCCCGCCAAGGCAAUCUGCUUAUCAACAGAGAGAACGCGCUGCCUCCACAAGAACAUGCACGACACUCGUCUCACGAGGUCAAGGAGCACAAAAGAAGGAAGAGCGCUAGGAUGGUCCGAUCAUCAAGCAAGGGUCGGAUAAUGUCGGGCCAGAGAACACAUGAGCGUCGUGCUCCACAACCUGUUGUGGUUGCAAUCGAGCACAGGAGAUGGCGGAGCCACAUCAAGAACCGGUCAUGCCUGCUGAGUACACUCAAGCAGAUAUGGAUGACUACAUCUCCAGGACAUUCUACUGAGGUAACACACCAAAACCCUUUGUAAAUACCGCUUUUUUU